rnacentral:lncRNA from 1 species
GCAGGCUACCUGCCAAUGUUCCCUGGGCACUCCUUCCUCCGUCGCAGAACAGUCCGGAGAGUACCAGCGACAGGCCACCAUGAUGCACCGGAUGUGGCAGCAUCAGAACCAGCUCUUCCCACAAGAGCAGCAGCCACCUGUUGACAUUGCACUGCCCCGCCUGCUGCGCCAAACAGUCCCAGACCUCGAGCCGCUCCCACCACAAGGUGCUGCGCUCAGACUCGCCACAUGCUGUCAGCAUCGAUCGCAAUUCAGCCGUGAUUAUCAACUAAAUCGAUGUUCGAAUGCUGAUGUAGGGCCCAUGGACAGGAAGUCAGCGGAGAUCGCCGUGCGGCAGGCCCGCAAGAACGCAGAGGCAGCGCUGGCGGCGGCUGCGAGGAAGGCGGCGGCUGCAGGCAAAGACUUUAACGUCCCACCAGGGUUCCAGGUGGACUUGAGUGGCAUUGUCAAGGUCCGCCCAAGCGCGCAUGCAUGCAUGGUGCUCCAAAUAGCCUGUGCCUUGGCUUCCUGUUUGUCAUUGUCACCAGAUGGCUGCAGGCCUCACAUCUGACAUUUUAUAGACAGGGCGCCUAGGUUGUUUACUUUACAGAGAGCUCAAGGACUGUGCUGGCGAGUUCCUUGGUCUGACUGAUUCAAGCCAAUGUAACAAGGUGUCUGAAUGACAAGAGUCAUGGACUGUGCAGAAUGACACAAGGGAGC